GUGAACAGUGAGCGCUACCCAAACGGUGAGAAACAUGUUCAACCAGUCAAUAAGGCGCGAUGUCGUUGGAUUUGUUUACGUAGAAUUAAUAAAGAAGGUGAACGAAAAUAGAACGUUUGAAGUGAAAAGUUUGGCAGCGUAUUCAUUUAACGGACAAGUGGAAGGUGAAAUUAUUAGUAAAUUGUAGUUUCGGAUUACGAUCUUUAUUUGAAGAGUGAUCAAACAGCCAAAGCGGAGUUAAACUCAGUAGGGGAGAAGCGAGUAAAGCAGACUCGUAGAUUAGAUAGUAAGUAAAGCAACAAAGUUUAAAGAGGAAAUUAAUUAAAUUAAUUUGUAAUAGGACUAGCGCCGGGAAGUUGGUGUUGUUUGUUGCAUUGGUCAGAUUCCACGGAAAAUAAGGAAACUAUUACUUUUUUGAGCUGAUCACAAGACUGCUGCAGAAAAAAUAGUAUUUCUUUGGACCGAUUCCGAACAUUCUCAAAAAAGUAAUAUCGGACAAUCUCGGAAGCGAUGUCGGAAGCAGCGGAGAUGACGAUGACUGCCUGCGGUUCCUGCGGAACAACUUCCGAAGUUGACGAACAGA